UUUCCCGGUUGAUCCUGCCGGACCUGACUGCUAUCGGAUUGGUACUAAGCCAUGCGAGUCGUUGUAGCAAUACAAGGCGGACGGCUCAGUAACACGUAGUCAACCUAACCUAUGGACGUGGAUGACCUCGGGAAACUGAGAAUAAACCGCGAUAGAUCAUUAUGCCUGGAAUGGCUUAUGGUUCAAACAAUUUAUUGCCGUAGGAUGGGACUGCGGCCUAUCAGCUUGUUGGUGAGGUAAUGGCCCACCAAGGCUAUAACAGGUACGGGCUCUGAGAGGAGAAGCCCGGAGAUGGGUACUGAGACACGGAUCCAGGCCCUAUGGGGCGCAGCAGGCGAGAAACCUUAGCAAUGUGCGAAAGCACGACUAGGUUAAUCCGAGUGGUUCCUGCUAAAGGAACCUUUUGUCAGUCGUAAAACCACAGACGAAU
rnacentral:rRNA from 1 species